rnacentral:rRNA from 2 species
GACGAUGGGGCUUGCCCCGUACUGUACAGUGGCGAACGGGUGAGUAACACGUGAGUAACCUGCCCCUCACUCUGGGAAACCUCGGGCAAUCGUGGCUAAUACCGGAAUGAGUUUCCACCCGCAUGGUGGUUUCUGGGAAAGUUUUUCGGUGAGGGAUGGACUCGCGGCCUAUCAGUUUGUUGGUGAGGUAAUGGCUCACCAAGGCGAUGACGGGUAGCCGGCUG